rnacentral:tRNA from 2 species
GCCAGGUUGGCGGAGUGGCUACGCGACUGCCUGCAGAGCAGUUCCACGCCUGUUCAAUUCAGGCACCUGGCU